rnacentral:rRNA from 1 species
AACGAACGCUGGCGGCAUGCCUAACACAUGCAAGUCGAACGAGACCCUCGGGUCUAGUGGCGCACGGGUGCGUAACGCGUGGGAACCUGCCUUUAGGUUCGGAAUAACUCAGAGAAAUUUGAGCUAAUACCGGAUGAUGUCUUCGGACCAAAGAUUUAUCGCCUUUAGAUGGGCCCGCGUUGGAUUAGCUUGUUGGUGAG